UUUUUGUUUGUUUUAGGUGUCUAGCAGGCGAACAAAUUGUCCUAGGACAACGAUUCUUUCAUCAGAUUGUGUCUAGCAGGUGGACAAAUUGUCCUAAGACAACGAUUCUUUCAUCAGAUUGUGUCUAGCAGGUGGACAAAUUGUCCUAGGACAACAAUUCGUUCAUCAGAUUGU